rnacentral:lncRNA from 1 species
CCAGGACACCUCUCUGUGAAGAGAUCUCUUCUCUUUCUUUCACCUGUUAAAUUUCUGCUCUGAACCUCACUCAUUGUGUGUCUGCGUCCUAGUGUUCUGUGGCUGUGAGACAAUGAAUCUCAGGUAUUUACCCCAGCCAAUGACGCCACUUCAUUGUGGAGGCUCAUCCAAGAUCCAAGCAAUUGAACUCCAAAUGGUGCUGCAGAUGGAACCACAUAUGGACACGCCCUUCUUCCGAGGACCCUUAAAUCAACCCCAGGAAAAGCCCUAGAUGCUGUUCCCCACGAGAUGUGCCUCUUCAGCAGAAAGUAGCCAAAAAAAAAAAGGUUGUCAUCCAACACCCCCUAACAACAGUUAGGGUUACCACUCCUGAGGGGGGAGAUAUGAUACAGGAUCUAGAAGAAAUUAUUUAAGCAGAUAGUGAGGGGAAAGGAAUCCUUGGAAAGGCUUUCCUUUUAACAAAAAGCACCCACAAAAUCAUUUCUUUUCUAACAAAGGGCAGCCUGAAAAAGCGAGUUGCAGACAUUGAUAAGCAAGCUAGAAGCUUGCACAGGUGAAUACUGGCAACUGUGCCAAUAGAAAAGGGCUACCUGGAAGCCAGGUAUGUUCAACAUGGAAGCGCCGUCUUCCUUUUCUUUGUUACCACAUGUACAGUAAAGGAACAGGCAACAUGGUGCCGGCCAGGUAGAGCACCUAUUUUCAUAAUAAAAGAUUAGGGUGGAGGUGGCCAGCUUCUUCACAUGCUAUGCAAAUGGAACACCUGUUCCAACCAAUCUUUCGUGUCCUAUGUAAAUCAAACACCACCUCCUUAAGCUCAUCUGUAAAACCUUCUGCACUUCACUGUGGAGGCAGCAACCCAUUUUUUUUUGUUUUAUAGAUGAAGUCUCACUUUGUCACCCAUACUGGAGUGAACUGGCAUGAUCUCAGCUCACUGCAACCUCCACCUCCCGAGUUCAAGAAAUUCUCCUGCCUUGGCCUCACAGGUAGCUGGGACUACAGGCAUGUGCCACCAUGCCCAGCUAAUUUUUGUAUUUUUAGUAGAGACAGGGUUUCAUCAUGUUGGCCAGGCUUGUCUUGAACUCCUUACCUCAAGUAAUCCGCCCUCCUCGGCUUCCGAAAGUGCUGGGAUUACAGGUGUGAGCCGCUGCGCGUCACCACCAAUCCAUUUUCUCCAGGACCUCUCUCUGUGCAGAGAGCUCUUCUCUUUCACCUAUUAAACUUCCACUCUGAACCUCACUCUUUGUAUAUCCGCAUCCUAGUGUUCUGUGGCUUUAGACAAGGAACCUCGAGUAUUUACCCAAGACGAUGAUAUCGUUUCAUUGGCAGCUCAGAUACAUCUCUGUAAGGAGAGCAAUCUCAAGUGCCGUGAUAUGGUUUGGCUGUGUUCCCACUCAAAUCUCAUCUUGAAUUGUAACUCCCACAAUUCCCACGUGUCAUAGGAGGAACCUAGUGGAAGGUUAUUGAAUUAUGGGAUGGGUCUUUCCUGCACCGUUCUCAUGAUAGUCAAUAAGUCUCAUGAGAUCUGAUGGUUUUAAAAAUGGGAGUUUCUGGCCGGGCGCAGUGGCUUAUGCCUGUAAUCCUA